rnacentral:rRNA from 1 species
CACCAGGUUGAUUCUGCCUGACGUGGACGCUCGCCUCAAAGCUUUAGCCAUGCAAGUCAGAGAAUACCUGAAUCUGUACACGGCUCAGUAGGACAGGGAACUCUGGCCACGCAGGGACAUAACCGCGGGAAACUGCGGCUAAGCGCGUGGGUGAGGCCCUGGCCUAUCAGCUAGACGGUACGGUAAGUGCGUACCGUGGCGACGACGGGUAGCGGGGAAUAGGUGUUCGAUUCCGGAGAGGGAGCCUGAGAGAUGGCUGCCACGUCCAAGGACGGCAGCAGGCGCGAAAAUUACCCACUUGGAGGACCAGAGGUAGUAACGAGGCGUCGUGAUGAGUGAGCUGUAGCACAGUUUAUGAAGGCCAACUGGAGGGCAAGUCUGGUGCCAGCAGCCGCGG